UAAGGCGGCCAUAGCGGCGGGGCACCACCUCUUCCCAUCCCGAACAGAGAAGUUAAGCCCGCUUGCGCCGAUGGUACUGCGCCACAAUGCGGGAGAGCAGGUAGCCGCCCGAC
rnacentral:rRNA from 1 species